AAAUAAUGUGUAGGUAUAGUGAUAUACACAUCUAAAGUAGGACAAAAAUCGAAAAAAGCAUGUCCGCGUUUAGUUAAUAUUCAACGUCUAACAGUCAAAAAAAUAUUUUAAGUUCGAUUCAAUCAAUUUAGCAAAGUUUACACUACAGUUUGACCGCAUUACAUUUUGGAUGUUUUCUUACAUUUAUUUAUUGCGAUUUUUUUAAAAAGUGGCUGUUUUUCCCCAUACAUUAUUACUAUGGGCGCGCGCAAUCGCAACUAAUUCGCGAAGCGCGCUUCUAAAAAUUCAGUCGCUCAGCAGAGCUCAAGGAGUGGUCACGUCAGUUUGCCGAGCGACGCUUCCUAAAUAUUCAUCGCGAUCUAGCGUGUGCGUAUACAGCGGCACAAAGCCAAAGGGAUUGAAAAUGGGGAAGCGAAAAGACAAAUAUUUUACGAAAAAGUGUAAAACUUUUUUAUUUUGAUUGUUUGCUUCUAGAAUUCAUUGACUCUAGGUUAGAUAGACAAAUGGAAAUUAAAGAACCAGACUAUAUUCUUAAUGCAAUAAAGGAAAGAGAAAUAAUAAAAAAAAAACGAAAAGCAACUAAAGAACUAGAACAAAUAACUAAAAGAAAUAAGAAGUAAAGAAUCACAAAUAACAUACCGAAAAAUAUAAUAUAUAAAAAUGAUAUUGAUAUUAAAUAAAUACUUGAUUUUAAA